AUGAACGCUGGCGGCGUGCCUAAUACAUGCAAGUCGCGCGAACGGACGAGAAGCUUGCUUUUCUGAUGUUAGCGGCGGACGGGUGAGUAACACGUGGAUAACCUACCUAUAAGACUGGGAUAACUUCGGGAAACCGGAGCUAAUACCGGAUAAUAUUUUGAACCGCAUGGUUCAAAAGUGAAAGGCGGUCUUGCUGUCACUUAUAGAUGGAUCCGCGCUGCAUUAGCUAGUUGGUAAGGUAACGGCUUACCAAGGCAACGAUGCAUAGCCGACCUGAGAGGGUGAUCGGCCACACUGGAACUGAGACACGGUCCAGACUCCUACGGGAGGCAGCAGUAGGGAAUCUUCCGCAAUGGGCGAAAGCCUGACGGAGCAACGCCGCGUGAGUGAUGAAGGUCUUCGGAUCGUAAAACUCUGUUAUUAGGGAAGAACAUAUGUGUAAGUAACUGUGCACAUCUUGACGGUACCUAAUCAGAAAGCCACGGCUAACUACGUG
rnacentral:rRNA from 1 species